CUUCCACAUUGAUGAGCUUCCCAGGUGGCGCUAGUGGAAAAGAACCCACCUGCCAAUGAAGGAGACGUAAGAGACGCAGGUUUGAUCCCUGGGUCAGGAAGAUCCCCUGGGGAAGGGCAUUGCAACCCACUCCAGUAUUCUUGCCUGGAGAAUUCCCUGGACAGAGGAGCCUGGCAGGCUGUAGUGCAUAAGGUUGCACAGAGUCGGACACGACUGAAGCGACUUAGCAUGCAUGCACGACAUUGAGGUGUUCUUAGUUUUUAUCCCUAAACAAAGUUCCAAGUUCACUUUAAGAACCGUCUUUUAUCUUCUGGUUUCAUUUGCGGCCCCUGUGUGGCUCCACUGCCCGCUCUGCCAAAGGUCUGCUCCCAGCUUUACCGCUGCUCCUCUGACCCCAUCCCUCAGUCCCUAACGGAAAAUCUCAGCCCUUCUCUGAGGCAGUGACGAGGUGGAUAUGAUGUAGCUUGUUGGGAAAACCACAGAAUCUGUGCUCAGCUGAUCCUUUACCAGCCCCGACGCCGCCACGCAUCUCUGCGUCAAUCAACCACCCCAUACCUCCCAGGUUGCUGCCCCUGGGGAACAUCACUGGGUAACUCGCUCAUACCUCCCGCGAAGGGAUUUGUUAGACUCUGGAACACCAAAGAUGAAAGGCACAGGCAGGCCUGCCCUCAAGGAGCUUCAGCCACAGGAGGAAAGGGAACAAAACGUGAGAUUCAAGGAACCCUAGCCCACCUUCGUCCUCCGCAUCUCCCCUGGGGCUUCAGGAGACUUGUCACCACAGUUCACACCAGCUUCCUCCUGCCCCAGCUCUCCCACCGCAUCUCCAGUCUCUGAACCUGCAGAGCUGCUGAUGCUGCUGGGGCCUGACGUCGCCCUGCAGCUGGAGGCCGCCCUGGCUGACCCUCAGCUGCCCUGUCCCUGUCUCACUCCAGAGACGGGCCUCGGGGGCAAUCUUGUCUUUAACACGUGGCCUCCUCUGUUCCAGGGGUCACGGAAGACCGCCCAGAGCUCACCACGUCUCACGGAGAUUUUAAUGAAACAGCUCUUCUAUUUAUUUGUGUUGCUGCCUCCAAGGCCUGGGGCCAUGACAUCAGUCCCUGAGAGGGGAGGCCCGGGCUCAGGGGACAUCAGGCUUUCUGUCCAGUUGCUUAGGUUCUGACACUAACCCGGCUUUUCUGCUUCAGUCCUACACUCUUCCCUCUGUUUUUUUCUCGGGCGUGUCUGAAUCCUGGGGUGAAUACCGUUUACCUUGCACCCUGUGGCACUUGUUAAAAGUAAACAGGUUUUCCCUGAGCGUUGGCAGUUCCACCAGAAGGAGAACAAAGGUCAAUGCAGUCAUACGGAAUCUGAUUAACACCAAGCCGCAGAAACACACCCCUGGAUUAGAUGCUUUCCCAGCUGCCCCUGCCCUUUGGACAGAGGAGCCGUUCUAGCUGGUGUGCAGGCAGCAGCUAUGCUUAGCUCGCUGAGUGGGAAUGUGUUAAUCCACAUUUCAAGUUAGGUUUGCCUAUUGUUAUUUUUUAAUUAUAUGUACUUUAAGAGUGAUGUUAUCAUUUGAAUUUUAAAAAAUGUAUAGAAAAAAGUUUUAUUACAUUGGAGUAAAAGAAAAAAGAAAUUUUAAUCAGGUUUACAGAGGUAUAAUUUACAUUCAAUGAAUUCCACCCUCUUUAGUGGAC
ensembl:lncRNA